rnacentral:rRNA from 1 species
AGGGUUUGAUUAUGGCUCAGGAUGAACGCUGGCGGCGUGCCUAACACAUGCAAGUCGAGCGAAGCAUUUUAAAGGAAGUUUUCGGAUGGAAUUUGAAAUGACUGAGCGGCGGACGGGUGAGUAACGCGUGGGUAACCUGCCUCAUACAGGGGGAUAACAGUUAGAAAUGACUGCUAAUACCGCAUAAGCACACAGUACCGCAUGGUACGGUGUGAAAAACUCCGGUGGUAUGAGAUGGACCCGCGUCUGAUUAGCUGGUUGGCGGGGUAACGGCCCACCAAGGCGACGAUCAGUAGCCGACCUGAGAGGGUGACCGGCCACAUUGGGACUGAGACACGGCCCAA